rnacentral:rRNA from 1 species
GACGAACGCUGGCGGCGUGCUUAACACAUGCAAGUCGAACGGAAAGGCCCUGCUUUUGUGGGGUUCUCGAGUGGCGAACGGGUGAGUAACACGUGAGUAACCUGCCCUUGACUUUGGGAUAACUUCAGGAAACUGGGGCUAAUACCGGAUAGGAGCUCCUGCUGCAUUGUGGGGGUGGGAAAUUUUCGGCUGGUGGGGAUGGACUCGCGGCUUAUCAGCUUGUUGGUUGGGUAGUGGCUUACCAAGGCUUUGGCGGGUAGCCGGCCUGAGAGGGUGACCGGCCACAUUGGGACUGCGAGACGGACCAGACUCCUACGGGAGGCAGUAGUGGGGAAUCUUGCACAAUGGGCGGACGCCUGAUGCAGCAACGCCGCGUGCGGGAUGACGGCCUUCGGGUUGUAAAACGCUUUCGCCUGUGACGAAGCGUGAGUGACGGUAAUGGGUAAAGAAGCACCGGCUAACUACGUG